GACGUAGGGGGCGAGCGUUGUCCGGAGUCACUGGGCGUAAAGGGCGCGCAGGCGGUCGCGUGGGCCAUCGCGUGAAAGCCCCCGGCUCAACCGGGCGGUGGCGGGUGGGACCGCGCGGCUGGAGGGUGGUAGGGGCCGGUGGAAUUCCCGGUGUAGUGGUGAAAUGCGUAGAUACCGGGAGGAACACCCGCAGCGAAGGCGGCCGGACUGGGCCAACCCUGACGCUGAGGCGCGAAGGCUCGGGGAGCGAACGGG
rnacentral:rRNA from 1 species